rnacentral:rRNA from 1 species
UACGGGGGGGGCAAGCGUUGUUCGGAAUUACUGGGCGUAAAGGGCUCGUAGGUGGCCAACUAAGUCGGACGUGAAAUCCCUCAGCUUAACUGGGGAACUGCGUCCGAUACUGGAUGGCUUGAGUUUGGGAGAGGGAUGCGGAAUUCCUGGUGUAGCGGUGAAAUGCGUAGAUAUCAGGAGGAACACCGGUGGCGAAGGCGGCUUUCUGGACAGUAACUGACGCUGAGGCGCGAAAGCUAGGGGAGCAAACAGG